rnacentral:rRNA from 1 species
UGGGGAAUAUUGGACAAUGGGCGAAAGCCUGAUCCAGCGACGCCGCGUGUCGGAAGGAGUCCUUCGGGAUGUAAACGACUUUUGGUGGAGACGAAUAAGCAGCUCAGGGAAUGGGGCUGUGAUGACGGUAUCCAUGGAAUAAGCCCCGGCUAACUACGUGCCAGCAGCCGCGGUAAGACGUAGGGGGCAAGCGUUGCCCGGAAUUACUGGGCGUAAAGGGAGCGUAGGCGGGAGGUCAAGUCCGGUGUGAAAGACCCUGGCUCAACCAGGGAUGAGGGCUGGAAACUGACAAUCUUGAGUACAGCAGAGGAAGAGGGAAUUACCGGUGUAGGGGUGAAAUCCGUAGAGACCGGUAAGCAGGCCAGUGGCGAAGGCGCUUUUCUGGGCUGUUACUGACGCUGAGGCUCGAAAGCCAGGGGAGCAAACCG